CUCCGGCUCCUCUCCUGUGACCCCCGCGCCAGUACCCUGAACUGAUCUCUGCCGCCCUCAGCCUUACUCCCUGGGGUUUCGCCCCCCGGCCCCCCGCCCUGCUCCCAGAGGGAAGGCUGGCGAGGGACACACGCGCUGUUCCCUCGACCUUCUGUCUGAGCGACCCGGAGCGACUCGCCUUUCCUCCUGGGGAGGGACUGUGCCUCCGGCCUUCGGCGCCGCUGGGGUGGCGUCGCCUCGUCCCCUAGGGCCGCGCCCUGCUUCCCCGGGGAACACCCUGCCUCGGGCCUGCCUCCCCUUUUUAGAGUGAUUUGGUGGUGGAGACAUGGCAUUCAUGGACUCAGAAGAACCAAAGGGAGUGAUGCUGAGCGAAUUAUAGGCUAAUUGUCACCUGCCACAUAUGAAAGGAAGAGUUGUUUGGCAUGGCACUGAUCAUUGUGUAUAUUCACUGGGAAGUUUACCCUCAGGAGAAAAGAGAAAACCAGCUGUGUGAAUGGAAUUUGGAGAAAGGGCACAACCAUCAGACGAAGUGGGAGGAAGAAACAUUAACUUCAACAGCUGUUUCUUGACCCCGGCUGUCAGUCUUCCCAAGAAUAAAUUUUGGAGAGUCCUAUUUGAAACAAAGAGGGAGUUUUUGAGGAGAGAAAAGUUGGUUGGUUCCAGAGAGGCCGCCCAAAGAAGCAGGGAACAAGAUGUUUGCAGUUACCACGCAGCCUGCAAGCCUCUGCCGGGUGCAGGGAUGGAGCAAAGUAACUUGAAAGCUCCCCUCUCGGCGCCCUGUGCCUGCAGCUUCCCCCCCUAACGUGCGCCCAGAUCCAGCGCCGGUGGUAAGAGCCGUAGCUCGACUACAGUAAUUCCCCAGCUCGGGCGGCUUGAAACUGCUCGGGCUGAAUAGCAUUUGCUGUUCCGUCCUGCGGCCGCCUCCCGCCGCCGCUGCCGCGCUCCCUGCAAAGCAGCUCUCAUUAUCCCGGAAGUUGUGCUGACACAGUCUCGCUGCCACCAGAAGUUUGUCAACAUCAAACUUCUCCUGUGUGGGGUACGUUCACCUUCCACGAGUAUUUAAUCGAGCCAACAAGCAAACAAACAAACCCAAAUAAACCUGCCCGUGAUGUCA
ensembl:lncRNA